rnacentral:rRNA from 1 species
AUUGAACGCUGGCGGCAGGCCUAACACCUGCAAGUCGAGCGAGCGGCGGACGGGUGAGUAAUGUAUGGGGACUGCCCGUUAGAGGGGGAUAACUACUGGCAACGGUGGCUAAUACUGCCUACUCUCGGUUAACCCAUAUGGGAUUAUCUAGUAGGUGGGGUAAAGGCUCACCUGUGCGACGAUCUCUAGCUGGUCUGAGAGGAUGAUCAGCCACACUGGGACUGAAACACGGCCCAGACUCCCGGGGAGGCAGCAGUGGGGAAUAUUGCACAAUGGGCGCAAGCCUGAUGCAGCCAUGCCUCGUGUAUGAAGAAGGCCUUAGGGUGGGAAAGUACUUUCAGCGGGGAGGCGUUACCCGCAGAAGAAGCACCGGCUAACUCCGUGCCAGCAGCCGCGGUAAUAC